rnacentral:rRNA from 1 species
GACGAACGCUGGCGGCGCGCCUAACACAUGCAAGUCGAACGGAGAAGUUAGCAAUAACUUUUUAGUGGCGAACGGGUGAGUAACGCGUAGACAACCAACCUUACAGCGGGGGACAACACUUCGAAAGGAGUGCUAAUACCGCAUACGCUCCUGUGUUCGCAUGGAUGGAGGAGGAAAGGAGCCUCAAGGCUUCACUGUAAGACGGGGCUGCGUCUGAUUAGCUAGUUGGGGGGGUAACAGCCCACCAAGGCGACGAUCAGUAGACGGUCUGAGAGGAUGAACGGCCACACUGGGACUGAGACACGGCCCAGACUCCUACGGGAGGCAGCAGUGGGGAAUCUUCCGCAAUGGACGAAAGUCUGACGGAGCGACGCCGCGUGAGUGAUGAAGGCCCUUGGGUCGUAAAGCUCUGUCAUUGGGGACGAACGACCGCCUCAGGAAAUGGGGGCGGAGUGACGGUACCCAAGAAGGAAGCCACGGCUAACUACGUGCCAGCCGCCGAGUAACAC